UGCAGUCGAACGGUAGCACAGAGGAGCUUGCUCCUUGGGUGACGAGUGGCGGACGGGUGAGUAAUGUCUGGGAAACUGCCCGAUGGAGGGGGAUAACUACUGGAAACGGUAUCUAAUACCGCAUAACGUCGCAAGACCAAUGUGGGGGACCUUCGGGCCUCACACCAUCAGAUGUGCCCAUAUGGGAUUAUCUAGUAUGUGGGGUAAUGGCUCACCUACGCGACGAUCCCUAUCUGGUCUGAGAGGAUGACCAGCCACACUGGAACUGACACACGGUCCACACUCCUACGGGAGGCAGCUGUGGGGAAUAUUGCACAGUGGGCGCACGCCUGAUGCACCCAUGCCGCGUGUAUGAAAAACGCCUUCGGGUUGUAAAGUACUUUCAGUGGGGAGGAACGCGUUAAUGUUAAUAGCCUUGGCGAUUGACGUUACCCGCAGAAGACGCACCGGCUAACUCCGUGCCAGCAGCCGCGGUAAUACAGAGGGUGCACGCGUUAAUCGGAAUUACUGGGCGUAAAGCGCACGCACGCUGUCUGUCAUGUCAGAUGUGAUAUCCCCGGUCUCAACCUGGGAACUGCAUUCAAAACUGGCACGCUAGACUCUUGUAGAGGGGGGUAGAAUUCCAUGUGUAGCGGUGAUAUGCGUAGAUAUCUGGAAGAAU
rnacentral:rRNA from 1 species